rnacentral:lncRNA from 1 species
GCCGCGCAACCUUGAGCGAUCGGAAAGUGCGUUUUCCACUCUUGGCCGGCGGAGAGGGGAGGCUUCGUUCCGGCCGCGAAGCUCUCCACAUCUCUGUAAGGUGCCUGGUGGUGGUCUCGUGCUGACGAUGCCCUCUCGGUGAGCGCAUACUUCCCCCCUCAUCUUUUAAGAGAUUCAAUACAUACAAGCAUUUGUCUCGCAAACCAGAUUUAUUUCAAGGGAAUUUUCCACGUCUCAAUAAUUUCUCUCGUCGUAUUCGAGUGCUGAUUGCCGUGUUAUAGUUUGUUAACGAAGCUUUCCCUCAUGUCAAAAUAUUUUAAGGCAGCUUUCCUAGUCUCUAAAGCCGCUCGAGUUC